UACGUAGGGUGCAAGCGUUAAUCGGAAUUACUGGGCGUAAAGCGUGCGCAGGCGGUUUUGUAAGACAGGUGUGAAAUCCCCGGGCUUAACCUGGGGAACUGCAUUUGUGACUGCAAAGCUGGAGUGCGGCAGAGGGGGAUGGGAAUUCCGCGUGUAGCAGUGAAAUGCGUAGAUAUGCGGAGGAACACCGAUGGCGAAGGCAAUCCCCUGGGCCUGCACUGACGCUCAUGCACGAAAGCGUGGGGAGCGAAACAAGG
rnacentral:rRNA from 1 species